UGGGGAAUUUUGGACAAUGGGGGAAACCCUGAUCCAGCCAUCCCGCGUGUGCGAUGAAGGCCUUCGGGUUGUAAAGCACUUUUGGCAGGAAAGAAACGUCGCGGGUUAAUACCCCGCGAAACUGACGGUACCUGCAGAAUAAGCACCGGCUAACUACGUGCCAGCAGCCGCGGUAAUACGUAGGGUGCAAGCGUUAAUCGGAAUUACUGGGCGUAAAGCGUGCGCAGGCGGUUCGGAAAGAAAGAUGUGAAAUCCCGGAGCUUAACUUUGGAACUGCAUUUUUUAACUACCGGGCUAGAGUGUGUCAGAGGGAGGUGGAAUUCCGCGUGUAGCAGUGAAAUGCGUAGAUAUGCGGAGGAACACCGAUGGCGAAGGCAGCCUCCUGGGAUAACACUGACGCUCAUGCACGAAAGCGUGGGGAGCAAACAGGAUUAGAUACCCUGGUAGUCCACGCCCUAAACGAUGUCAACUAGCUGUUGGGGCCUUCGGGCCUUGGUAGCGCAGCUAACGCGUGAAGUUGACCGCCUGGGGAGUACGGUCGCAAGAUUAAAACUUAAAGGAAUUGACGGGGGUCAUAGCUGUUU
rnacentral:rRNA from 1 species